AAGUUAGUAAUGAUUAUAAAAAUAAUUCCUUGUUCUGACUUAUUUCAUUUAGACAUGAUAAACCUCUUAUUACAACCAUCGAAUCUAAACUCC
rnacentral:snoRNA from 1 species